rnacentral:rRNA from 1 species
GUGUCAGCCGCCGCGGUAAGACAGAGGGUGCAAACGUUGUUCGGAAUUACUGGGCGUAAAGCGCGUGUAGGCGGCCGCGUAAGUCGGAUGUGAAAGCCCUCGGCUCAACUGGGGAAGUGCACCCGAAACUGCGUGGCUUGAGUCUCGGAGAGGAUCGUGGAAUUCUCGGUGUAGAGGUGAAAUUCGUAGAUAUCGAGAGGAACACCGGUGGCGAAGGCGGCGAUCUGGACGGUGACUGACGCUGAGACGCGAAAGCGUGGGGAGCAAACAGGAUUAGAAACCCUCGUAGUCC